CCUACGGGUGGCUGCAGUGGGGAAUAUUGGACAAUGGGCGAAAGCCUGAUCCAGCCAUGCCGCGUGUGUGAAGAAGGCCUUCGGGUUGUAAAGCACUUUCAGUGGGGAAGAAAGCCUUGGGGCUAAUACCCUCGAGGAAGGACAUCACCCACAGAAGAAGCACCGGCUAACUCCGUGCCAGCAGCCGCGGUAAUACGGAGGGUGCGAGCGUUAAUCGGAAUUACUGGGCGUAAAGCGCGCGUAGGCGGUCUGAUAAGCCGGUUGUGAAAGCCCCGGGCUCAACCUGGGAACGGCAUCCGGAACUGUCAGGCUAGAGUGCAGGAGAGGAAGGUAGAAUUCCCGGUGUAGCGGUGAAAUGCGUAGAGAUCGGGAGGAAUACCAGUGGCGAAGGCGGCCUUCUGGACUGACACUGACGCUGAGGUGCGAAAGCGUGGGUAGCAAACAGGAUUAGAUACCCGAGUUGUC
rnacentral:rRNA from 1 species